CAACGUUCUCAGGGCGGGGUGUAAUUCCCCACCGGCGGUAAUGGCGCACGAUGCGCAUAGCCCGCGAGCGCUUGGCGUAGUGGACGGUCUCGACGGUCCCUCGACAAGGUCAGCAGACCCGGUGUGAUUCCGGGGCCGACGGUCAUAGUCCGGAUGAAGAGAGAACGGGA
rnacentral:ncRNA from 1 species